rnacentral:lncRNA from 1 species
UACGGCCACUUUGUGUCUGGCAAAGGUAAUAAUAUUACUCUUCAUUCCAUAAGCUUUAUUUUUAAUGCCCAUAAAAAUUUGGAACUGAGAACAUGAUGGGGUUUUAGGCAAUACCCAAGUUCUAUAAUUUUCCCCGCUUGUUUUUAUUAGUAAUUUCUUCAAUCAUGUUAGUUUGAUAGUGUUUUGCUGCCCAGAAUUUUUUUGAAUUUAAAAUAUCAUGGGAUUGGGGUUUUAAGAUUUUAACAACAAUUGAUAUGAAUUUUGGUGAAUUUUGAUGCUCAAUGGACUUUGUUAACGGCUUCUAACUUUGUUAUGCUUUGGAAUAUUGGUGGGUUUUCAUCAAAUUUUGCUUAUAUCUUUGUGCGGUGUGUCUGUUGUAUUAUCUGGUCAUAGAUACCUUCGUUCAGUAAUUUGAGAAGCAUGGGGAGAUAAUAGACUAAUCAAAGAGAUGCAUGUGAUCAACGAUAAAUAGGUAAGCAUCAUCCUUUUCCUUCUUUUGUUAUGAUUGGUUGUAUAGAGGAUUGAGAAAAAAGUUGAAGACAAUUCCAUGCUUUUGAGUUAUAGCAAUUAGUAAAUAUAAAGUUCAUUGAAGUUUUGAAUCCUUCGUUAGUUUAUUUAUGGUGCGUGCUUGAGAAUGAAAGCAAUGGACAUUAUAUGGAAUUGAUGUUCCUUUUAAUGUCAGUAAAGAAAGGAAUUGUUCCUUUAUUAGCAAUUAUAUGAAGUAGGCAUAUUAUGCAAUACAAUGUCUACAAUCGACUAUUUUACUUUUUGUAUACAAGUACAAACUUUUGAUCGAAAGCCACAAAAACUACCUAAAGGCCAAAGAACUGUGUGUGUUAGAAGAACAAAAUAUGGUGUAAAGCUUAAAUUUUGGGCACUUAAAUAUAUGUUUUAUUUUUCAAUUACAAUAACUUGCAUGAAAAUUCAAUUGGGUUUGUUCUGGUCUCCAAGAAUUUUGCUUUGUUUGGUUACUGAUUAAUUUAUGUGGUGGGAGUUUAGUUUUUGCAUUUCUGCCUAUGUAUAUAUGAUUCGAAAUGGACUGUUCAAUUAUAUAUUUGUAAUCGAAAAGCUCGAAGGAGAGGUGAAUUAUAUUACCGACACCGUUCAUUUAUCUAUCCCUUUGCUCAUUCAUGAUUAUGUAGAAUUUUUUUCCAGGUUAAAUGUGUCAUAUUCAUGUAGUUAAGGCUGAUGCAUUUAAGUCCCGCAGUAUCGCGUGGGCCAAUUUACUAGUGUAAACGAAAAUCGAAAUCAAAACACGGAGAUUUUUACGGUUUUAAAACGACUUCGGUUUGAAUCUGAACUGUAGCAUGAAAAAACAGGUUGGUUUUGCUUUUGAACAUCUGAAAUCAAGCCGAAACUGAAUCACAUUGCCAAAAUACCUGAACGAAAAGGCAUAGAGUACGUUCCGCAUAAUGCCCAAAACCAAAAGCCGCAAGGGUGACGCCGAACCUCCGCUCUGUGUAUGAUAGCAUGCCCACCGGACCUGAUGCUCCGCCGCAGCAUGUAAAUCUUGGAUGAGUGGUACACCAACAUUACAAUGCAGUGGUUUAUAUGAUGACGAUCCCAACUGUUAGGUACUCAAGCCCAAGGGAAGAGCCCAACCCAAAAGACUAGUCCAAUAGGUGGGAGGACCCCAAGGACUUAAGAACCCCUACACCCCCAUAAGUGUAGUCGAUGUGGGAUCAUAACAUUACACCACCCUUCGGAAGCCGACGCCCACGGCGGCCCUUACUCUGAUGGCUUUCACUCUUAACGGCAGUGCACCCUUUGGUCAUCCCGUUAAGGUAGCCCUUUCCAGGUCACCCCCUCCGCAGCGUCGGGAACCUAGGCUCUGAUACCAAUGUUAGGUACUCAAGCCCAAGGGAAGAGCCCAACCCAAAAGACUAGUCCAAUAGGUGGGAGGACACCAAGGACUUAAGAACCCCUACACCCCAUAAGUGUAGUCGAUGUGGGAUCAUAACACCAACAUUUCAAAUUCAUUUUCUUAAUCCUUCUUCAGGUUUGUCCACACAACAAAUUGGUGGCAUAUUCAGAAGACACCAAAGGAAAUGAAAUCUAUACAGUUUGUGUCGUUGAUGCCGAGACAGGUGCUCAUGUGGGUCUGCCUCUAGUUGUUACAACAUCCUAGUUUGCAAAUGGUUUGAAACCGAAAUUAAAACCGUUUGAAACCGAACUAAAUCGCAACCAAAUGGUUUGGUUUUAUCUUGAUUCGUUCAAGCUUCAAAUUCACACCGAACCGAACUGGCAAAAAAUUCAGUUUCACUUUAAAACCGCACAUAACCAAACCGUGUCCAUCCGUGGUCUGCAUUGGAGGAAAACUGGGGAAAACCUCCCGGUAACCUCAACUCUGAUGGAGGAAAUGUAUUGGAGAUUGAAGAUUGUGAAUUCUUGUUUUUGUUUUUCUCCAUAAGAUUUCCAUACAAAAUUUCUAUACGAUUUUUGCCUUCUCUUGUAAUUUCAUUAUGACUACAUACUACAAAUUUUUGGUGACCCUCCGACAGCCACGGAAACGACAACCCACUUCUGAGAUCGGAAGCUAGCGUAUGGAGACGGCGUGUCGGAGAUUGUCUUGACGGUGGAUUCGAGCUGUGGCG